rnacentral:tRNA from 1 species
GCAAGAGUGGCGGAAUUGGUAGACGCAGCAGACUCAAAAUCUGCCGGUAGUAAUACCUUGAGGGUUCGAUUCCCUUUUCUUGCA